GGAGAGGAAGCUUUGGGAUUCACUUGGAUGCUCUUCUUCCCUCUAUUUCACUUUGAAUGGCCCUUUUGUGCUUUUGGGAGAUUUUUCUUGUAAUCUGUUUAGAAUCUCUUCCCUAAAAGUUCUCUCCCACUUCCAUGAGUUCUCCCCUAGCUCUCUUCUUGUUUUUAUAGCUUUAGAUGGCGUGGAAACAAGAAUAUAGCCGUUAGAGACAAGAAAAAGAGCCGUUGGACACAGUCUGCAUUUCCUGACAAUGUUACCGUUGGGAUCGGAGUCGACUCGCGCGAUCAGGAGUCGACUCGCCUGUUGCAGGAGUCGGCUCGUGCUUUACUGGAGACGACUCGGCCACUGUUCCAAAUUUGAAUUAAAGUGCAUGCCUUGACUGGGAGUCGACUCGGCUUAACCUGGAGUCGACUCGCCAACUUCUGGAGCUGACCUGGCAAUUUCGGAGU
rnacentral:lncRNA from 1 species